rnacentral:lncRNA from 1 species
CAAGAUUCGAACUUAAAUAAGCAUAAAUGAUCGAUCACACUCUUUAAUGUACUAGCGCACUAUCUUAAUUAACUAGCAUAACUCAAAUUUGCAUAAUACACAAGAAUUUGAUUAUAUUAUUAUGUGCUUACGAGCAUUACACAUAAAACACAAGCGAUAUUUGUGACAAAAAAAAGCUAGAAAACUCGUUAAUAUUAAAAAUAAAGCAGGCCCUGAGGAGAUGCAGGUGGUGCCAUGAUCGGUCCUGAAAGGAUGCAGGUGGUCUCAUCGCCGACCCUAAGGGGGCGUAGGUGAUGCCAUCAUCGGCCUCGAGGGGCUUAAUGACCGAAUGGAUUAAGCAAUGUUUUUGCUUGGGAGGGCAUAGGGUUUGCUGAACUGAAGGGAAUGCUGAGUAGUAGUGCCCUUCUU